rnacentral:rRNA from 1 species
UACGUAGGGUGCAAGCGUUGUCCGGAAUUAUUGGGCGUAAAGAGCUCGUAGGCGGUUUGUCACGUCGGAUGUGAAACCCUGAGGCUCAACCUCAGGCCUGCAUUCGAUACGGGCAGACUAGAAUUCGGCAGGGGAGACUGGAAUUCCUGGUGUAGCGGUGAAAUGCGCAGAUAUCAGGAGGAACACCGGUGGCGAAGGCGGGUCUCUGGGACGGUACUGACGCUGAGACGCGAAAAGCGUGGGGGAGCGAACAGG